rnacentral:rRNA from 1 species
UGGGGAAUCUUGCACAAUGGGGGAAACCCUGAUGCAGCGACGCCGCGUGAGCGAUGAAGGUUUUCGAAUCGUAAAGCUCUGUCCUAUGGGAAGAUAAUGACGGUACCAUGGGAGGAAGCCCCGGCUAACUACGUGCCAGCAGCCGCGGUAAUACGUAGGGGGCGAGCGUUGUCCGGAAUUACUGGGCGUAAAGGGUUCGCAGGCGGCAUGGCAAGUCCGAUGUAAAAGGCGAAGGCUCAACCUUCGUAAGCAUCGGAAACUGUCAAGCUUGAGUGAAGGCGAGGCAAGUGGAAUUCCUAGUGUAGCGGUGGAAUGCGUAGAUAUUAGGAGGAAUACCGGUGGCGCAGGCGACUUGCUGGACUUCAACUGACGCUGAGGAACGAAAGCGUGGGUAGCAAACAGG